GACGAACGCUGGCGGCGUGCCUAAUACACGCAAGUCGAGCGGACAGAAGGGAGCUUGCUCCCGGAUGUUAGCGGCGGACGGGUGAGUAACACGUGGGUAACCUGCCUGUAAGACUGGGAUAACUCCGGGAAACCGGAGCUAAUACCGGAUAGUUCCUUGAACCGCAUGGUUCAAGGAUGAAAGACGGUUUCGGCUGUCACUUACAGAUGGACCCGCGGCGCAUUAGCUAGUUGGUGGGGUAAUGGCUCACCAAGGCGACGAUGCGUAGCCGACCUGGGAGGGUGAUCGGCCACACUGGGACUGAGACACGGCCCAGACUCCUACGGGAGGCAGCAGUAGGGAAUCUUCCGCAAUGGACGAAAGUCUGACGGAGCAACGCCGCGUGAGUGAUGAAGGUUUUCGGAUCGUAAAGCUCUGUUGUUAGGGAAGAACAAGUGCGAAAGUAACUGCUCGCACCUUGACGGUACCUAACCAGAAAGCCACGGCUAACUACGUGCCAGCAGCCGCGGUAAUAC
rnacentral:rRNA from 1 species